rnacentral:misc_RNA from 1 species
GAUGAGAACGUAGCGAAAUGCGAUAAGUAAUGUGAAUUGCAGAAUUCAGUGAAUCAUCGAAUCUUUGAACGCACCUUGCACCCUUUGGCAUUCCGAAGGGUAUGCUCGUUUGAGUGUCAUUGUACUCUCACACUCCCAAUUGCUUUGGAUUGGGAGCGGUGGACUUGGGUGUUGCUGCUUGACUGAGGCUCACCUGAAAUAUGUUAGUGCACCUCUUGAUUGGACAUAGUACGGCGUGAUAAGUGUCUUCGCCGGCUCCUCGCAAAGAGGGUGGCCGAUCGGGAGCUCUGUUGCUUCAAACUGUCUUCGGACAAUCUUCUGGCGACUUGACCUCAAAUCGAGUAGGACUACCCGCUGAACUUAAGCAUAUCAAUAAGCGGAGGA